GUUAUAUGGUCAAGUGAAGAAGCGCAUACGGUGGAUGCCUUGGCAGUCAGAGGCGAUGAAAGACGUGGUAGCCUGCGAAAAGCUUCGGGGAGUCGGCAAACAGACUGUGAUCCGGAGGUAUCUGAAUGGGGGAACCCAGCCAUCAUAAGAUGGUUAUCUUGUACUGAAUACAUAGGUGCAAGAGGCGAACCAGGGGAACUGAAACAUCUAAGUACCCUGAGGAAAAGAAAUCAACCGAGAUUCCCUUAGUAGUGGCGAGCGAACGGGGACCAGCCCUUAAGUUGUAUUGAGAUUAGCGGAACGUUCUGGAAAGGACGGCCAUAGUGGGUGAUAGCCCUGUACGCGAAAAUCCCUUUGCAAUGAAAUCGAGUAGGACGGGGCACGAGAAACCUUGUCUGAAUAUGGGGGGACCAUCCUCCAAGGCUAAAUACUACUGACUGACCGAUAGUGAACCAGUACCGUGAGGGAAAGGCGAAAAGAACCGCGGAGAGCGGAGUGAAAUAGAUCCUGAAACCGUAUGCGUACAAGCAGUGGGAGCCCACUUUGUUGGGUGACUGCGUACCUUUUGUAUAAUGGGUCAGCGACUUAUUUUCAGUGGCGAGCUUAACCGAAUAGGGGAGGCGUAGCGAAAGCGAGUCUUAAUAGGGCGUCUAGUCGCUGGGAAUAGACCCGAAACCGGGCGAUCUAUCCAUGGGCAGGUUGAAGGUUGGGUAACACUAACUGGAGGACCGAACCGACUACCGUUGAAAAGUUAGCGGAUGACCUGUGGAUCGGAGUGAAAGGCUAAUCAAGCUCGGAGAUAGCUGGUUCUCCUCGAAAGCUAUUUAGGUAGCGCCUCAUGUAUCACUGUAGGGGGUAGAGCACUGUUUCGGCUAGGGGGUCAUCCCGACUUACCAAACCGAUGCAAACUCCGAAUACCUACAAGUGCCGAGCAUGGGAGACACACGGCGGGUGCUAACGUCCGUCGUGAAAAGGGAAACAACCCAGACCGUCAGCUAAGGUCCCAAAGUCAUGGUUAAGUGGGAAACGAUGUGGGAAGGCUUAGACAGCUAGGAGGUUGGCUUAGAAGCAGCCACCCUUUAAAGAAAGCGUAAUAGCUCACUAGUCGAGUCGGCCUGCGCGGAAGAUGUAACGGGGCUCAAACCAUGCACCGAAGCUACGGGUAUCAUCUUUUGAUGAUGCGGUAGAGGAGCGUUCUGUAAGCCUGUGAAGGUGAGUUGAGAAGCUUGCUGGAGGUAUCAGAAGUGCGAAUGCUGACAUGAGUAACGACAAUGGGUGUGAAAAACACCCACGCCGAAAGACCAAGGUUUCCUGCGCAACGUUAAUCGACGCAGGGUUAGUCGGUCCCUAAGGCGAGGCUGAAAAGCGUAGUCGAUGGAAAACAGGUUAAUAUUCCUGUACUUCUGGUUAUUGCGAUGGAGGGACGGAGAAGGCUAGGCCAGCCUGGCGUUGGUUGUCCAGGUUUAAGGUGGUAGGCUGAGAUCUUAGGUAAAUCCGGGAUCUUAAGGCCGAGAGCUGAUGACGAGUGUUCUUUUAGAACACGAAGUGGUUGAUGCCAUGCUUCCAAGAAAAGCUUCUAAGCUUCAGGUAACCAGGAACCGUACCCCAAACCGACACAGGUGGUUGGGUAGAGAAUACCAAGGCGCUUGAGAGAACUCGGGUGAAGGAACUAGGCAAAAUGGCACCGUAACUUCGGGAGAAGGUGCGCCGGUGAGGGUGAAGCAUUUACUGCGUAAGCCCAUGCCGGUCGAAGAUACCAGGCCGCUGCGACUGUUUAUUAAAAACACAGCACUCUGCAAACACGAAAGUGGACGUAUAGGGUGUGACGCCUGCCCGGUGCCGGAAGGUUAAUUGAUGGGGUUAGCGCAAGCGAAGCUCUUGAUCGAAGCCCCGGUAAACGGCGGCCGUAACUAUAACGGUCCUAAGGUAGCGAAAUUCCUUGUCGGGUAAGUUCCGACCUGCACGAAUGGCGUAACGAUGGCGGCGCUGUCUCCACCCGAGACUCAGUGAAAUUGAAAUCGCUGUGAAGAUGCAGUGUAUCCGCGGCUAGACGGAAAGACCCCGUGAACCUUUACUAUAGCUUUGCACUGGACUUUGAAUUUGCUUGUGUAGGAUAGGUGGGAGGCUUUGAAGCGUGGACGCCAGUCUGCGUGGAGCCAACCUUGAAAUACCACCCUGGCAACUUUGAGGUUCUAACUCAGGUCCGUUAUCCGGAUCGAGGACAGUGUAUGGUGGGUAGUUUGACUGGGGCGGUCUCCUCCUAAAGAGUAACGGAGGAGUACGAAGGUGCGCUCAGACCGGUCGGAAAUCGGUCGUAGAGUAUAAAGGCAAAAGCGCGCUUGACUGCGAGACAGACACGUCGAGCAGGUACGAAAGUAGGUCUUAGUGAUCCGGUGGUUCUGUAUGGAAGGGCCAUCGCUCAACGGAUAAAAGGUACUCCGGGGAUAACAGGCUGAUACCGCCCAAGAGUUCAUAUCGACGGCGGUGUUUGGCACCUCGAUGUCGGCUCAUCACAUCCUGGGGCUGAAGCCGGUCCCAAGGGUAUGGCUGUUCGCCAUUUAAAGUGGUACGCGAGCUGGGUUUAGAACGUCGUGAGACAGUUCGGUCCCUAUCUGCCGUGGACGUUUGAGAUUUGAGAGGGGCUGCUCCUAGUACGAGAGGACCGGAGUGGACGAACCUCUGGUGUUCCGGUUGUCACGCCAGUGGCAUUGCCGGGUAGCUAUGUUCGGAAAAGAUAACCGCUGAAAGCAUCUAAGCGGGAAACUUGCCUCAAGAUGAGAUCUCACUGGAACCUUGAGUUCCCUAAAGGGCCGUCGAAGACUACGACGUUGAUAGGUUGGGUGUGUAAGCGCUGUGAGGCGUUGAGCUAACCAAUACUAAUUGCCCGUGAGGCUUGACCAUAUAACACCCAAGCAAUU
rnacentral:rRNA from 1 species